GACGAACGCUGGCGGCGUGCCUAAUACAUGCAAGUAGAACGCUGAAACUUGGUGCUUGCACCGAGCGGAUGAGUUGCGAACGGGUGAGUAACGCGUAGGUAACCUGCCUGGUAGCGGGGGAUAACUAUUGGAAACGAUAGCUAAUACCGCAUAAGAGUAGAUGUUGCAUGACAUUUGCUUAAAAGGUGCAAUUGCACCACUACCAGAUGGACCUGCGUUGUAUUAGCUAGUUGGUGGGGUAACGGCUCACCAAGGCGACGAUACAUAGCCGACCUGAGAGGGUGAUCGGCCACACUGGGACUGAGACACGGCCCAGACUCCUACGGGAGGCAGCAGUAGGGAAUCUUCGGCAAAGGACGGAAGUCUGACCGAGCAACGCCGCGUGAGUGAAGAAGGUUUUCGGAUCGUAAAGCUCUGUUGUAAGAGAAGAACGAGUGUGAGAGUGGAAAGUUCACACUGUGACGGUAUCUUACCAGAAAGGGACGGCUAACUACGU
rnacentral:rRNA from 1 species